UACGUAGGGUGCGAGCGUUGUCCGGAAUUAUUGGGCGUAAAGAGCUCGUAGGCGGUUUGUCGCGUCGGCCGUGAAAACUUGGGGCUUAACUCCAAGCUUGCGGUCGAUACGGGCAGACUUGAGUUCGGCAGGGGAGACUGGAAUUCCUGGUGUAGCGGUGAAAUGCGCAGAUAUCAGGAGGAACACCGGUGGCGAAGGCGGGUCUCUGGGCCGAAACUGACGCUGAGGAGCGAAAGCGUGGGGAGCGAACAGG
rnacentral:rRNA from 1 species